GACGAACGCUGGCGGCGUGCUUAACACGUGCAAGUCGAACGGAAAGGCCCUGCUUUUGUGGGGUGCUCGAGUGGCGAACGGGUGAGUAACACGUGAGUAACCUGCCCUUGACUUUGGGAUAACUUCAGGAAACUGGGGCUAAUACCGGAUAGGAGCUCCUGCUGCAUGGUGGGGGUUGGAAAGUUUCGGCGGUUGGGGAUGGACUCGCGGCUUAUCAGCUUGUUGGUGGGGUAGUGGCUUACCAAGGCUUUGACGGGUAGCCGGCCUGAGAGGGUGACCGGCCACAUUGGGACUGAGAUACGGCCCAGACGCCUACGGGAGGCAGCAGUGGGGAAUAUUGCACAAUGGGCGGAAGCCUGAUGCAGAAACGCCGCGUGCGGGAUGACGGCCUUCGGGUUGUAAACCGCUUUCGCCUGUGACGAAGCGUGAGUGACGGUAAUGGGUAAAGAAGCACCGGCUAACUACGUG
rnacentral:rRNA from 1 species